AUGGUGCAUGAGGUGGCCGUAGAGCUUUGUGGAGGCCGGUUCAGCAACGAAGGUGGUUGUUCUUCGGUGGGAGUUCCGGUUGAGGUUGCAAGAAUAAUAACUAGAAGAAAAAAAUGUGGUAAGUUAAUGUUGUGUUUGUUGUUAUUUUCUUCUGUAAUGAUGGACAAAGUUGAAGCUUGGAGGAAGAUUGUUGCUAAUUUUGGAGAGUUUUGUUACUGA